GUUGUAGCUCAGUGGUAGAGCGCUUGCUUCACAUAUAUGAAGCCCUGGGUUUGAUCCUCAACACUACA
rnacentral:tRNA from 1 species